GGCCCGUUCGUCUAGCGGUAGGACGCGGGACUCUCAUUCCCGAAACAGGGGUUCGAUCCCCCUACGGGCUAUCA
rnacentral:tRNA from 1 species